CAGCAGUAGCCGCGGUAAUACGUAGGUGGCAAGCGUUGUCCGGAAUUAUUGGGCGUAAAGGGCUCGCAGGCGGUUUCUUAAGUCUGAUGUGAAAGCCCCCGGCUCAACCGGGGAGGGUCAUUGGAAACUGGGAAACUUGAGUGCAGAAGAGGAGAGUGGAAUUCCACGUGUAGCGGUGAAAUGCGUAGAGAUGUGGAGGAACACCAGUGGCGAAGGCGACUCUCUGGUCUGUAACUGACGCUGAGGAGCGAAAGCGUGGGGAGCGAACAGGAUUAGAGACCCCGGUAGUCCCUGUCUCUUAUAC
rnacentral:rRNA from 1 species